GAUGAACGCUAGCGGGAGGCCUAACACAUGCGAGUCGAACGGGAUUGGGAGCUUGCUCCCAUGAGAGUGGCGCGCGGGUGAGUAACGCGUAUGCAACCUACCUUUAACUGAGGGAUAGCCCAUAGAAAUGUGGAUUAAUACCUCAUAGUUCCUUUGGCCCGCAUGGGUUGGAAGAUAAAGCUCCGGCGGUUAAAGAUGGGCAUGCGUGACAUUAGCUAGUUGUAAGUACGGCUUACCAAGGCUACGAUGUCUAGGGGUUCUGAGAGGAUGAUCCCCCCA
rnacentral:rRNA from 1 species